rnacentral:rRNA from 1 species
GCAAGCAUCAGCGCCCCGGUGAGGAAGCCCCGUACCCCCUCCUAAGGGGGCCUAAGGGCCGGCAUCAGGCACAACAAUAGCCCAAAACGCCUAGCACCACCACACCCACAAGGGUCAACAGCAGUGAUUAAUAUUAGAUAUUAGCGCAAGCCUGAUUUAGUCAUAGUAGUUUCGGGCCGGCAAACUCUGUGCCAGCCGCCGCGGUUAAACCGCCAGGGCCCAAAUUGAUGCUCACCGGCGUAAAGGGUGAUUAAAGCCUCGUAAUGCUAGAAUUAAACCUAAACUUAAAUGUAACAAUUCUGUUUCCGGGAAACCCAAACACGAAAGUUAUUCUACCCCCCCCCCCCCCACCUUGAACUCACGACAGCUAAGACACAAACUGGGAUUUGGUACCCCACUAUGCUCAGCCGUAAAACUUUAACUUACACAAUAACCGCCAGGGAACUACGAGUAAAACUUAAAACCCAAAGGACUUGACGGUGCCCCAAAUCCAUCUAGAGGAGCCUGUCCCAGAAUCGAUGAUCCGCGCAAACCUUACCAACCCUAGCUUAACAGCUUGUAUACUUCCGUCGCAAGUCUGCCACAUGAGUGAAAAUCAGCAGACUUAACGUUCAUAGAAAAUACGUCAGGUCAAAGUGCAGCAAAUGGGUUGGCGGAGAUGGGCUACACUUUCUAACCUAGAAGAUACGAAAGACUUCAUGAAACCUAGUCAGAAGGCGGAUUUAGUAGUAAAAAGAAAACAGAACGCUCUUUUUAACACGGCCCUGGAGUGCGCACACACCGCCCGUCACCCCCUUCAAAAUCCCCAAAUAACAGUACAUAACAACAAUCCCAAU